rnacentral:misc_RNA from 1 species
GUAAAUGAUGUUGAAUCAGGUCUCUGAUCCCAGUGAGGAUAAAACUUGACUAAACGCUGAUA